GUUCACUCGUACGGGUAUAAAUAUAUGCGACUAAAUGCCAAAAACAGUAAAAUUUUUCCUAAGAAGCUUUUGCGAUGGCGUUACUUCGUCAAAUAAUUUGCGCUCUACUAGUCAUAGCAGUUCUACUAAAUGGCGGCGAAUGUAGACCUGAACCAGUACUUGGUGCUGUGAGUGGCCUAGCCGGUGGUUUGCCUGGCGCAGCUGCAUUACCCGCAGUUUUGUCUCCGUUGGCCGGAGCUCUACCCCUACCUGUCGGACGUUAAAAGCUGCCUUGCAGCAGUACGUGAAUUCAAGCUGGUCAUGUGGUUUACUCUUCACAAUAAUGUAUACAAUUUUAGAUGAAAUGGUAGUCAAUAAAAGUAUUUGAGUAUGCACAAAAA